rnacentral:rRNA from 1 species
CGGACCGUGUACAAGUCUCCUGGAACGGAGCGUCAUAGAGGGUGAGAAUCCCGUCCAUGACACGGACGCCCGAUGCUUUGUGAUACGCUCCCGAAGAGUCGCGUUGUUUGGGAAUGCAGCGCAAAAUGGGUGGUAAAUUCCAUCUAAGGCUAAAUAUUGGCGAGAGACCGAUAGCGAACAAGUACCGUGAGGGAAAGAUGAAAAGCACUUUGGAAAGAGAGUUAAACAGUACGUGAAAUUGUUGAAAGGGAAACGCUUGAAGUCAGUCGCGUCCGGUGGAACUCAGCCUUGCUUCGGCCUGGUGUACUUUCCGCCGGACGGGUCAACAUCAAUUUCAGCCGGUGGACAAGGGCGAGGGGAAUGUAGCGUCGCUUCGGCGACGUGUUAUAGCCUCUCGCCGUAUGCACCGGCAGGGAUUGAGGACCGCAGCACGCCCUUGUGGCCGGGGGUUCGCCCCACGUAACGUGCUUAGGAUGUUGGCAUAAUGGCUUUAAGCGACCCGUCU